AGAGCUUACGCCCCUUUACAUUAUUUGCAAAGUUACUUAAUUUCAAGUAAUGAUAUGGAUGCUACUAAGUGGUUGGUAUAUGAUAUUCCGACGCGAUUCAAUGAGAGUUGGAAUGAGGGGAAAAUGGUAAAUUAGUCAUGUAAUGACGAAUAAUUAAAAAACGGUUUUAAGUAAAACAAGUUCAAAGAAAACCGGGAUAGGUAAAAGGGUUGAAAUGGUAAUUAAAUACCAUCUCAACACGGACAAAUGGUCAAUUAGACUAAAUGGGUCAAAUGGUGUGGAUAACACCAUUUGGCAAUAACAAUUGACAAUCGCUUGUUGAGUUUUGUGAUUUCAGGAAAUAACAUGUGUUGCGUUGCUUUAAUUAGAAAAUUUAAAGCAAGAAGUAUGUAAACGGGUCAAUACUAUGAUCCGAGCCAGGUACGCAUACGUGAAUUUAUAGUUAAAAGUGCAAGAAGGUCUAACAUCUAGCCGAAAUCCUUCAUUUCAAAAUGAAGGACUAAAUGUGACCAAAGAGCCCUUAAUAGGUAAACAAUGUAAACGACUCUUAGAGGUUGCCUAGAAACUUAUAUUAUGAGUUUGAAACCCUUAGAUGUGUAUAAAAGUUCUAGGCAAAAACAAUUGUGGGUCGAACGCCUAGAAAUAGUUAAUUGCGGAAAAAUGACCAACCGAUAGGUAAAAUUGGAAAAAAGGGGUUCAUAUGUUAAAUCCACCACAAAAUAGUUGUGGUGGAAUAUUUCUAGUUAAUUAGACAUGGAAAAUAUUGUAGUAUCAAAAGAAAAGCACAAGUUCUAGACCAAAAUGCGUAAAUACCCUUAACGGGUCGAUAUAGAAGUAUUAGCGAAACGAGUUAAGAAUGUGUAAUAACCCGUGAUUUGAACCUUGUACAAUAGGAAAUAAUCAUAAUAUUAUGUUUACGAAAGAAACAAGGGCCACAAUCAAGUUUGUUAGAUGAAUUCAUGAACGGGUCAAAAUUUGGGUAAAAAUGGUAAUAAGCCGAAGACUUAAAAGUCUUAAAUUUUUGUUAAUCCGGAUGUCGGAUUUUAACUCCAUAUGAUGGAGAAUUAAAUUAAGGACGUGUAGGAAAAAGAAUCGUGUAAAACGGAUUAAAAACGAGAGAGUUAUGUCCGUUUCGGUAAGAACUAAUGAAAAAUAGACGUGCAGAGUUGACACGGGCGGGUGACUUUUUGACACGGCCGGGUGGCUGGGCUGUGAAAAAUAUAUGUUAACUGACACGGCCGGGUGACUUUUUGACACGGCCGGGUGAAGGGGCUGAAAACAAAACAAAAAUAAUUUCUUGUUUUGUUACGUUAAGCACGGAACUUGUUUAUACUCGAUUAUUAAAGUGUCAAAACUAAUUAUUUACAUGGUUUUGACCGUAGGUGAAGAUGUGAUAAGCGGUUGAAAGAUACGAAAGUUUUCGUGCAAAUAAACGGCAAAAUAGGAAAGCUGGAAUGCAGGGGCCACCGUAACUUACGGUGCCACCGUAAGUUACGGUGGAGCUGAAGGCUUUACGGCAGCCCCCUACUGAUUUACGUUGAAGGACACUCGCAUAUGAGGAUAGCGAGAGCUUAACAAAUUACGGAUAUGAUAGAAGAACGGUCCAAAGUAUGACAAGAGGAGCAUGCUCACCAAGGACUAAAUCGCGUAACGACCGCGAACAAAGUUAAAGGCAAGAAACGCCCGUCGGGGCAAGCAUUACCAGGUGCACACUUUUAAAAAUUUAAUUGCACAAGUAGCAAUAUGCAACAAACACGUAAGUAAUGACGGUUGCAUACACAUAUGAUAGAACUUAGAAAACCUGAUUUCCAAGAGAAAUUUAAUAGAAAAUGUGUCAUUCACGAUGAUGAUUAACAAAUGAGUAACAAGAUUUAUUCAUAUGGAAACUUGGAUUGGGGUAAUUAUCCAAGUGGGAAACUCUCAAUUUAAUACUAUUGAGAAAAGUAGCAAUCACAUUAACAAAUGUGAUUAUAUAUUAGUUUAAAAAAAAAACAUUGUAUAUGUUCAUGAAUAAAACAUGUAAAUCAAAUAACUGUUAAAUGGUAACUAAAUAAAUGGUUUCCAAUGAAAGUCCAGAAUAUAGAAAGAUUAGAGGCGUCACUUACAUGGGUGUAGUGCGGAAAUUAUGAAAAGGUCAUGUGUGUCAUGUGUUGAUCGCUUACUCUGGCCAAGUAAGCAGUGAACACAUGAUGUCAUGAACUUUUUAUGAUGGACAUACUUACAUUCGAUGUAGUAGGGACGGGGUGAAUGGGACGAAUUAAAAAGGUACCCAAAUGAAUCAAACAAAUAAGAUGUUUGAUAGCAAACGUAAACGCAAGUCGGAUGACGGGAGCGUAUUACGUUAGAAUAACGAGCCCGAGAGAAGGGACAAAGAUUAAAGUAAAUGGAAAUACAGACCGACUAAUAGGAAUGCUAACGUAUAAGGAUGAAAGUUUGACUGUCACAGGUGAUGAAAUUCACAUGGACAAGUCAAACGAAUUGAAUAAAGAAUAAAGGACUUGAUUGAAUAAAAGCGAUGGGUCUCGCUAAGACGACCAAUUAAAUUAAAAUAACGUCUAAAACCAUAUAGAAAUGGUUACUUGAAAAGGAUUACGGUAAGGAUACCCGAUGAAUGGGUAGGAUUUGGAAAGAAUGCGUAAACCAAGAGACGGGAACGCGAAACAGAAAGUCAAAAGACUCGGAAUAUGAGUCAUGACUAAAAGACAAUGAGGAUUUGCAAACAGAAAUGUUAAUAACUACGCUCAACUAUUUUAAAGUUGAACGGGUCGAAUAAAGAACAGAGUUUGAUGUUCACAAGUGAUGAAAUUUCACACGAACAAGUCAAACGAGAUAAAUAAAGUAUAAAAACUUGGUAGUGCAAGUAAGCGCAAACCGAAUAAUGGAAGCGCGAAACAUUAAUGAACCUACGUGAUGGCUCAUAAAGGAAUAUACAUAGGAAAAACGCAAACUAGCGAAAAAAAAAAGUUAAAAACAUUAAAAUAAAAGAACCCGGGUAAUGGGACGUAAAGGGGUAUAAGUAUGAACCGGGUAACGGUAAGUGUAUGGAAAAAAAAAACCGACGUGUAAAUCGAAGUUGGAAGUCGAGAAGUCGGAAAGAUGAUUCGAAAGAAAACAAUGUAGCCUUAGACUACGGUCAAGGUCAAAUGAAAUCCAAAAAGUAAAGGUGAAUAAUUAUAAACAUAAAAAGGGGUGCCUUAACGCCAUAUAUAUAAACGUAUACACAUUUGAACAAAGACUAGAAUAAAAGAUGAUCUACGGGAUCAUCACAACCUACGGGAUAUUAAUUAGUGUAAAGGUCUACGGGGCCAAAAUGACCCACGGGUCAUGAAUUGAAGCAAAAAGGGAUCAUAAGGGCCUCGCCUUAAAAAGGUGCAAAAAUCUAAAGGAAUAGCCUACAAGGCUGAGUAAAAGAACCUACGGGUCGGUGAGUUAAGUGUGGGAACUGAUUUUAAUCCACGAAUUAAAUAAUAUCGGAAAAGAAUGAAUCCUCGGACUUAAAAUUUCUAGGAGUAAUAAAAGGACAUAAGGCAAGGUGAAGAGAAAACGUUAAACUAAAAUUUAGUUUUAGUAAGAAAUGACGUUUAACAAAUAUAUAAGUAUUAUGAGAGAAGUUAAGAAAAGGUUAAUAUUAAAAGAUACAAGUCUUGACACAGAUAGGCGCAAGACGAUAUAUUCGAAAAGAGAUAUUUUCGAGAAAUGAAAGGUUGAUAUAAAUUAAACAUGAUGUGACCCGAUCAGGGUCAAGAAAUACAAUGUGAAGUAGAAUCACAAUAUAACCAAGCGAGCGGUAAAGAGUAACCGGACUAAUAAGUCUAGUUAGUGAGACCGGUUAAGGUCAUUUAAACAAAUUUGGUUGCGUAUAAGCAGAGGAUUCGGUAUAACUGAACCGAAUAAAUGAACUUGAAAACAAAAGAAAUUGUAGUUAAAAAAAAUGAAAGAUUUCACUAAAGACCUUUAAACAGGUCAAGGAAACUGAUUCACAAAGGGUUCGAUAAUAUGGAUAUCGCUAAAUUAACUAAACUAGUAGAAAUAACGAAAUUACGUUAUUUCAAGUUGCAUUAUGUCAAAUGGGGCACAUAGAUGUUUUGUAACCAAAAAGGUAUUACCAUAAUUUUCUGGUAAUACUAACAAUCGAUUAAAAUAUGAGCAAUGCUCAAUUGAUUAUUGAGAGCAUAUGCAUGGAGUUAAACUCUAUAAAUUAUGAAGGAAAAAGGUUUCGAGGACGAAACCUCUUUAAGGGGGGUAGACUUGUAACACCCCGAAAACGGGUUUGGUAACCAAACCCCGUUAAUACUAAAAGACGGGUAAAGUACCAUUAGUAAUAAAAUUUACCCGGUGAAUAUUAGGAAUUUUAAGUAAAUAAACCUAAUAUUUAAUAAAAAGAUAAAUAAAGGUCUAUGGAUAAAUAAAGUUUAUAAAAGGUCUGAGUUAACGGAACCUAAAAUAAACUUAGUCGUAAAUAUCCCCGAAACCCGCUAAGUUAACUAGAAAUGUAUGGUUUAGUUAAUAAGAGGGAUUGUGGAUUUAAAAUAAGAAGGGUGUAACAUCCCGAAAAUACACAUUCUUAAAUUUGUAUUUAGUUACAAAUAAAAUUGGUAAAAUAAACUAACUAGGAUUGGCAUUAACCUAGUUAAAUGACAACUUAUGAAUAGUUAAAAUGUUAAAACAAAAGAAAAAUGAAACUUGAGGGACUAAAGUUGUGUAAGUGAAAACUAGUAAUAAUAAAACAAAAAAAAAAUUAAAACACAACACUUGUUUGUGUUGUUGGGUUCGAUCAGAAGGCAGGGGGCGACUUCAAGCUCCCCAAAACCCUAGUUCACAUCAAAAACCACCAAUUGAAGGAUCAAAUCGAGUCCAAAACGAAAAUCGAGCAUAUAUUCGUGAUCCCCAUUGAAAGGAGAUCAUAAGUUUGUCGCCUAACGAGCUAGGUGGAGGCUUGAAAAAGGAGCGGUCAAACGAAUCAAGCACGAGAAGAAAACGUAUUCGGAUGCGAGGUAAGUAGAGCUUACGCCCCUUUACAUUAUUUGCAAAGUUACUUAAUUUCAAGUAAUGAUAUGGAUGCUACUAAGUGGUUGGUAUAUGAUAUUCCGACGCGAUUCAAUGAGAGUUGGAAUGAGGGGAAAAUGGUAAAUUAGUCAUGUAAUGACGAAUAAUUAAAAAAUGGUUUUAAGUAAAACAAGUUCAAAGAAAACCGGGAUAGGUAAAAGGGUUGAAAUGGUAAUUAAAUACCAUCUCAACACGGACAAAUGGUCAAUUAGACUAAAUGGGUCAAAUGGUGUGGAUAACACCAUUUGGCAGUAACAAUUGACAAUCGCUUGUUGAGUUUUGUGAUUUCAGGAAAUAACAUGUGUUGCGUUGCUUUAAUUAGAAAAUUUAAAGCAAGAAGUAUGUAAACGGGUCAAUACUAUGAUCCGAGCCAGGUGAAGAUGGGAUAAGCGGUUGAAAGAUACGAAAGUUUUCGUGCAAAUAAACGGCAAAAUAGGAAAGCUGGAAUGCAGGGGCCACCGUAACUUACGGUGCCACCGUAAGUUACGGUGGAGCUGAAGGCUUUACGGCAGCCCCCUACUAAUUUACGGUAGGGGCAUGUCACACCAGGGGCCACCGUAACUUACGGUGCCACCGUAAGUUACGGUGGAGGCCAGUUGGAAAUCCAUGUUUUGAGAUCAAAAGUUUAACGUUCUUUUUGGAUGCCGGAAGACGAUCAAGCUCAUCGAAUGACCGAACACGAUAAAGAUACAUGCUUCCGCACAUUUCCUCGUCGUAAAUUUUUAAACGACAAACUCGAUCACUUAUGUUGAAUAACUUAUGAUUUGUAAAAGUUUUAAUAAACUCGUAUUUUCAUAGUAUGUGUAAACUUAAUUACA